rfam:Betaproteobacteria bacterium RIFCSPLOWO2_02_FTLL_65_20 rifcsplowo2_02_scaffold_3681, whole genome shotgun sequence.
GUUACAACGUAGGGGUCCUGUCCGGAUAGCGGGCAGGUGAGAGAGACCCUCCGAACCUGAUGCGGAUAAUGCCGCCGUAGGGAAGCGUUGCGAGCCAGCUG